rnacentral:ncRNA from 2 species
CUCUUAUCAAGAGAGGUGGAGGGACUGGCCCGAUGAAGCCCGGCAACCGUUAAACAGUUUUUGUUUAAAAUGGUGCCAAUUCCUGCAGAGCAUUAAUUGCUUUGGCAGAUGAGAG